GUACGCUUCUUUUUCCACCGGAGCUUGCUCCACCGGAAAAAGAAGAGUGGCGAACGGGUGAGUAACACGUGGGUAACCUGCCCAUCAGAAGGGGAUAACACUUGGAAACAGGUGCUAAUACCGUAUAACAAUCGAAACCGCAUGGUUUUGAUUUGAAAGGCGCUUUCGGGUGUCGCUGAUGGAUGGACCCGCGGUGCAUUAGCUAGUUGGUGAGGUAACGGCUCACCAAGGCCACGAUGCAUAGCCGACCUGAGAGGGUGAUCGGCCACAUUGGGACUGAGACACGGCCCAAACUCCUACGGGAGGCAGCAGUAGGGAAUCUUCGGCAAUGGACGAAAGUCUGACCGAGCAACGCCGCGUGAGUGAAGAAGGUUUUCGGAUCGUAAAACUCUGUUGUUAGAGAAGAACAAGGAUGAGAGUAACUGUUCAUCCCUUGACGGUAUCUAACCAGAAAGCCACGGCUAACUACGUGCCAGCAGCCGCGGUAAUACGUAGGUGGCAAGCGUUGUCCGGAUUUAUUGGGCGUAAAGCGAGCGCAGGCGGUUUCUUAAGUCUGAUGUGAAAGCCCCCGGCUCAACCGGGGAGGGUCAUUGGAAACUGGGAGACUUGAGUGCAGAAGAGGAGAGUGGAAUUCCAUGUGUAGCGGUGAAAUGCGUAGAUAUAUGGAGGAACACCAGUGGCGAAGGCGGCUCUCUGGUCUGUAACUGACGCUGAGGCUCGAAAGCGUGGGGAGCAAACAGGAUUAGAUACCCUGGUAGUCCACGCCGUAAACGAUGAGUGCUAAGUGUUGGAGGGUUUCCGCCCUUCAGUGCUGCAGCUAACGCAUUAAGCACUCCGCCUGGGGAGUACGACCGCAAGGUUGAAACUCAAAGGAAUUGACGGGGGCCCGCACAAGCGGUGGAGCAUGUGGUUUAAUUCGAAGCAACGCGAAGAACCUUACCAGGUCUUGACAUCCUUUGACCACUCUAGAGAUAGAGCUUCCCCUUCGGGGGCAAAGUGACAGGUGGUGCAUGGUUGUCGUCAGCUCGUGUCGUGAGAUGUUGGGUUAAGUCCCGCAACGAGCGCAACCCUUAUUGUUAGUUGCCAUCAUUCAGUUGGGCACUCUAGCAAGACUGCCGGUGACAAACCGGAGGAAGGUGGGGAUGACGUCAAAUCAUCAUGCCCCUUAUGACCUGGGCUACACACGUGCUACAAUGGGAAGUACAACGAGUCGCGAAGUCGCGAGGCUAAGCUAAUCUCUUAAAGCUUCUCUCAGUUCGGAUUGUAGGCUGCAACUCGCCUACAUGAAGCCGGAAUCGCUAGUAAUCGCGGAUCAGCACGCCGCGGUGAAUACGUUCCCGGGCCUUGUACACACCGCCCGUCACACCACGAGAGUUUGUAACACCCGAAGUCGGUGAGGUAACCUUUUGGAGCCAGCC
rnacentral:rRNA from 1 species